UACGUAGGGUGCGAGCGUUGCCCGGAUUUAUUGGGCGUAAAGGGCGCGUAGGCGGCCACGCACGUCCGUUGUGAAAUCGCUCGGCUCAACUGGGCGGGGUCAGCGGAUACGGUGUGGCUAGAGCAAGCUAGGGGGCAAUGGAAUUCCCGGUGUAGUGGUGGAAUGCGUAGAUAUCGGGAGGAACACCAGUGGCGAAGGCGGUUGCCUGGAGCUUUGCUGACGCUGAUGCGCGAAAGCGUGGGGAGCGAGUCCGG
rnacentral:rRNA from 1 species